GGGUGACUUCAGGAUUGCUCUGGCUAUAGCAAUCCUCUGCUUCUGCCCUCCAGACAUUUGGACACCACGCUCACCCACCUGUUUUCAUUUCGUAUAUGGUUAGUAUCAAACUAUCAGAGUAUGAACCACAACUUAGUUAAGAACAUCACAUAAUAAGGACGAUUUGGGGGAAAAAAUCAAUAGGUUAGAUGAACUAAUUUCUUGAUGAGCUAACAGUGUUUUAGAAGUCCCCGCAAAAAAAAAACAUUGUUUUAGAAGACGUCUACCAGUCUGUGUGCUGUAGUCUGUUAGUUGUUGACAUAUGGCCAGCGCGUGUCCUCGAUUGACUAUAGACAUCUAGGGUUGUCACUUCUUAGUUUCUCUUUACCAUUUAGCUAAUUAUUGUAAUACGAAGGUAGGGCUCGCAAUUGUACACAUCUAUUCUCUCUGGAAAUGUAAAUAAUAAAGCAAGAAUGGCAUGGACUACAACUUGUGUCUCCCAUUGUGUCCCUUUUUUAUGUUUCACAUCUACUAUCUGUGUGUGUUUCACCAUAGUCUUAACAUGUUAUUAGGACGAAGCUCCACCAGGACGCACGAUGAGGAGGAGAUGACUUGGAAGCCUAGAUCUAUAAAGCCAAAACCCUCUCACUGGGAUGAUCAUCUACACCGCACAAAGGACCUUCUGCACUACGAAGAACCCUGCAUCGAAUUUCACGAGAUUGGAAGGUACAGAUCAUCCAUGCAAAAUUCAGCCCAUAUAAUUUGUUUUUUCUCAAAAAAUUCCAUCUCUAGAUUGGGUCUCGUUAUUGAGCAUUUGAUCCACUGGAUGCAAAAUUUCCCCAUCCACUGUCCGCCAGAUCCAAGGUUGUACAUACCCGCACAUGGACAUUUCCCUAAAAUAAAUAUUUUCGUGUCGAACAACAAUAACAAAGCCUUCAGUCACAAACAAGUUGGGUAGGCUAGAGUUGAAACCCAUAUGAUAUCAAAACCAAGUCAUGCUUUUGGCAUGUAGAAGCUAAACUUCCACGCACCCCUUCCAUGGCUAAAUUCUUUCAUUUCCAAUCCAACUAAAAGAAAUACUUCUGUGUGGAAAUUAUAUAGCAUGAACGUGAGGAAAUAGCUAUAGUAUAGUGGGACAAUGACUUGCAAAGAGGAAAUAGCUAUAGAUUAAUUACCAGUAAUUAGUUACCUGUGUGUCGUACCCUUGCGGCAGCUGGGAGAUGAAGUUGUGUGCAUUGGCGGCCUUGGCGGCGGCGGUGACCUCCUCUGGCGUGGCGUCCUCCUUGCCAAAUAGUAUGUUCUCCAUGAUGGUUGUGGCAAAGAGCGCCGGCUCCUGGCUGACAAGCCCCAUCUGGGCGCGCAGCCACUUGAGCCGCAGCCGCCGGAUGUCGACGCCGUCCAGCGCCACCUCGCCGGCCGACGGGUCGUAGAACCUCUCUAUCAAUGCCAUCACCGUGGACUUGCCGGACCCGCUGCUGCCCACAAGCGCAGCUGUGCGCCCCGCCGGCACGCACAGGUUGAAGCACGCGAAGAUGGUGCUAUCUGGCCGCGACGGGUAGCAGAACUCUACGUUCUUGAACUCCACCUUACCGGCAACGUUAAGGAGUUCCUCCCCUGUGUCACUGCCCGAGUCGAUCUUGGGCACCCGCCGGAUCACCUCCAGCACCCUCUCCCCCGCUGCACUCGCCUCCGACAGGUACUUGAGGUUCGACAGCCCCGACCCCAGCGCCCUGCAUCAAGCUCAAGCAUUAUGGUUGGUCGCUAAUGGCGGAAGCAAAACUCAUGUCAUGCAAGGACUAGAAAACAACUAAUUAGUGUUACAUACAGGCCACCAACGACGGCCGCGGCGGAGACUGCGGAAACAGUGCCACCCUGGUAGCCAUGGUACAUGACGAGGUGGCUGCCAUACCAGACGCUGAAGGCCCAGAUGGUGAAGGUGAUGCCAGUGCUGCCGACGGCGAUGCCCUUGGCGAGCCCUUGUUUGAUCCCGAGCCGCGCCGACUCCUUGAGCGCCGUUGAGAACUGCGCCAUGGUGGCACGCUCUGCUGCGAAGGAGCACACUGUGCGCACAGAGGAGAUGGCCUGCUCAGCGAUGGCGCCCGGGCGCGUGUACUGCUCCCUGAUCUGCCGCGCGAGGCCCAUGAGGAUGCGGCCGUACAUGAACCCCGGGACGACGAGGAGCAGGAUAGAAGGCAGGGUCACCAGGGUGAGCCGCCACACUAGCACAAAGCCGGCGGCGUAGCUGCCGAGGAAGGUGGCGGCGUUCAUCACCAGGUUGGGCACCUUCUCGCUCAGCACGUCCUGCACCACCAGGCUGUCGUUGGAGACACUGGCAAUCACGUCCGCCGUCGACCCCACCUUGAGGUCGAAGUACUCCACGUCCUGCCGGAGCACCGCUGCCAGGUAGCAUGCACGCAUCCGCGACGCCUGCCGCUCCGCCGUCCGUGACCAGCAAUACCCCUCUGCCGUGCACAGACAUCACAUUCACACGUAUAGUAUAGUUACUGAUUUUGCUCCGCCAGUAUCCAAAUAAAAUGAAAUAUUCUCAGUCUCACACUCACACUCUGUCACUCACCUAGGAACGCCAUGACCCAGCUGCCCAGCGCCAAGAAGACAAGGUUCCUCGCGUUCUGUUAGUUGCUCGUCAAAGCUGCUACGGUUUAACAAUAGGCACAGGUGUGUAGAAUUUGUUGAUGCGUACCUCGUCCAUCUUGGAGCUCAACUCCUGGAGGUGUUCUGGGCCGCUGUUGCCGAGGUCGUUGAUGAUGAAGCCGGUGAUGAGCAGCUUCACCGGUGUCGAGAAGCCAUCGCCGAUGGCGCCCACCAGGCCCACCGCCAUCAGCGCCAUGUCCAUGGCAUCCGCGUGCAUGAACACUGACAUGACCGCCGCCUUCUUGGCGUCUGCUGCACCACCCAUGCUGCGUGAACGUGCCAGCCCGUAGCUCGCUACCUAGUCUGGCUUGCUUUCUUGCUGUUGAUCGAGCCGUAGCAGAGUUAAUUUACUCGAUAGUUAGUACAUCAGGAGCCGUCCAAAUUAUAAAUUCGAAGCUUUGGUGAAUGAUUGCAAGAGCACAUUAGUUAGUAGUUAGUACAAAGUAAGCAGUCCACCUAACGACUUGCCGUCCGCAUAUAUAUAAUCUUGAAGACUUGCCGUCUGCAUAUAUAAAUACUACGACCAUCAUUAUUAUUCUAAUAUCCGUAGUAAAUUUGAACUAUUAGUGGUGUUUCUAUACUAUGAUGGAGGAGUUGUGAUCGCUGUGGGGGCACUAGGUGACUCAAUUUUACUGUUUUUAAUGUCAUUCAUUUUGUCAUUAUACCGAUAGUAACUGCAGGGCUAGUGGUUCAGCUUGGAUGCCAUCUCCUAAGAAACAAGAAAGAAACCCUGAUGCUUUCCUUGGCUCCAUCCGCUUUCCAUCCAUGCUAUCCUGGAUGCUCCAACCAGAUGAUGAUGCCUCAAAUGCCACACGAGGUAGUGCCUGUCCAAGGUUUUGUGAUUUGGACUCUCAAUAAAGAUUCGCGGGCAGCGAGGCAAAAGCACAUGCAGCCAUGGAUUGGUGUAACAGCGAGAGGAUCCAACGAAGAAGGUUGGCCGUCAUCCGCCAAUAUUUGAGUAUGUUGUGCAGAUGCGGUCGCCAGAAUGCACGGCUACCGUGCCUCCGGCCUCAUGUGCUCCGUGGCUGCGACGUCCUUGUAUGCCCACUAAUUAUGGAAACAUGCUUGGACACAAAAACGUUGAUCACGAGACACUAUGCUUGGGCCUCUCGUUGAUCAAAGCUUCAAUUGAUGUCUCUAUUAUUUAUGCAACAUAGAACCAUCAAUGUAAUUUCUAGAUGUCAAUGAUUUUGCAACCGCGGAUGCAUUUUUUGUUCUGGCGAAGUUAGCUUUUGCGUUGUUUGGAUGUCACCAAGGCACCAUACUAUUAAUAGGAAUUCAUUCUCUCAUGGGGAUUCAUUUGCAUUAUACUGUUUUAUUGGUUUGUUUGCAUUAUAUUCUUAUUUGUAU
rnacentral:lncRNA from 1 species